rnacentral:rRNA from 1 species
CAUGCAUGUGUAAGUAGAGUGUUAUAAAGCGAAACUGCGAACGGCUCAUUACAACAGAUAUAAUUUACUUGUUCUUUGAUUUAAAUGGAUAACUGCGGUAAUUCUGGAGCCAAUACAUGCUUAAAGCCCCGACUUCGGUUGGGGUGCUAUUAUUGGAGCAAAACCAUUCGUUAGUCCUUUUGCUAACUCUGGAUAAUACUGCGUAUCGUACGGUCUCGAACCGACGAAGUUACUUUCAAGUAUCUGCCCUAUCAACUGUCGUUGGUAGUGUAUUGGACUACCAUGGUGUUAACGGGUAACGGAGGAUCAGGGUCUGACUCCGGAGAGGGAGCCUUAGAAACGGCUACCAUGUCUAAGGAUAGCAGCAGGCGCGAAAAUUACCCAAUAUCAAUACGAUGAGGUAGUGACGAGAAAUAACGAGACCGUUCUCUAUGAGGUCGGUCAUUGGAAUGGGUACAAUCUAGACAAUUUAACGAGUACCUACAGAAGGGCAAGUCUGGUGCCAGCAGCCGCGGUAAUUCCAGCUUCUGUAAUUUAUAGAAUUAUUGUUGCGGUUAAAAAGUUCGUAGUUGGAUUGUUAAACUAUCUCGGGUCCACCUUAACGGGUGGUUACUCGUGGGUAGUAUUUUACGCGUUUGUAUGCAUGGACUCACGUCUGUGUAUGCUGCGUGUAGGAUUACUUUGAACGGCUUAAGUGCUUAAAGCGAGUCUUAUGACUGAAUACCGGUGCAUGGAAUAAUGGAACAAGGUUUCGGCCGAGUUU